GGAGUGUGAGUUUGGCCGGAGAAUCGGAGCAGCGGGGGCGGUAUUGCACUCGCUUUACCGCACCGUUGUGACGAAAAGAGAGCUGAGCCGAAAGGCAAAGCUCUCGAUCUACCGGUCAAUCUUCGUUCCUACCCUCACCUAUGGUCAUGAAGGAUGGGUCAUGACCGAAAGAACUAGGUCACGGGUACAAGCGGCCGAAAUGGGUUUCCUCAGGAGAGUGGCUGGCGUCUCCCUUAGGGAUGGGGUGAGAAGCUCAGCCAUUCGCGAGGAGCCGCUGCUCCUUUGCGUCGAAAGGAGCCAGUUGUGGUGGUUUGGGCAUCUGGUGAGGAUGCCCCCUGGGCGCCUCCCUAGGGAGGGAAGAGGCCCCGGGGAAGACCCAGGACUAGGUGGAGAGAUUAUAUCUCUGCACUGGCCUGGGAACGCCUUGGGAUCCCCCAGUCAGAGCUGGUAGAUGUGGCCCGGGAAAGGGAAGUUUGGGGUCCCCUGCUGGAGCUGUUGCCCCCGCGACCCGACCCCGGAUAAGCGGUUGAAGAUGGAUGGAUGGAUAUCUUCAUUGAAAAAAAUAAGCUUUUCUUUGAAAAAUAAGGAGCAUGAUGACGAUGAGGAGGAAACGCUGUCUGCUGCCACAGGGAGAGAUCCAGGGAGGCCUACUGAAGUCUGUCUUAAUAUUAUCUACUGCCAGUGCUCUGCCCAUUCACAUUCUAGAGUGGAAUUUGGAGUUUGACAAGUAGACUGAAGUGAUGAGCAUAGAUAAUGGCUAAUGGAUAACAUAACUAGCACAUUCUUGUCCUUGAACAGAACAUGGUUGGGCAUCACCGACCCACAGCACAGCUUGAAACAGUGAGAUUUUCGGUCAAUACCAUGUUAAAUCUGUAUGUGGAACUGUAGAAAUUAAAUGUCGUCCAUAUGUUUCCUAGUUACUAGUAAAGCGGUAGCGUUCUAACAGAAAGUCCUCUGGAAAUGAUAAAACGUCCAAUCUGAGUCGGAAGACUCUCUCGCGAUGUAAAGCAUUUCGAAUCACUAAGGCUUCGAUGUCAAUUGGAUUCGGUAGGAAUGUACAAUCCAUGUCUACCAGCUUUCUUCAUGUGGGAGGAGACGGUAUGAACUCCGGGUUUCUUAUACUAAACCUGCCAGCGAGCAGGUUAUGUUCACAGUCUGUUACCAUGGUGAUUGACUCAGAGUUUCAGUUACCUCUCUAUCUGGAACGGAUAACUCAAGAGUUUCCCUGAUCUCAGGGUUAACUUACUCUGAGUUUUCACAUAACCCGCUUUCUGGAAUACCCCCCUGAUGUGACUCUGCCCCCUCCUGAGGAGAGGGCGGGGGCAAUUCUCUCAGGUGAUUUCACCUGGAGCAAUACCACCUGAGAGACAUCAGGCCAUUAGUGGGCCACAUAAAGGCUCCCGGACCCAGUGGUGAGGGGUCUCUCUUUUCCCUUUGUGUGACAAUUAGCAGACUGCUUGUGU
ensembl:lncRNA